GACAGAGACACGGCGAGACAGAGACACGGGGAGACAGAGACACGGGGAGACAGAGACACGGAGUGAGACAGAGACACGGAGGGAGACACGGGGACCCGGCGGAAGAUACGGGGACCCGGCGGGGGACACGGGGAGACAGAGACAGAAGGAGACACGGGAACACGGAGGGAGACACGGGGAGACAGAGUGUGACACGAGGAGAGAGGUAGAGACUAGUGGAGACCAGGGGGAGACGGGAAGAUAUAGAGCGGUGGGUGGGGGGAGAGGGGGGGGGAGACACGGCGAGACUAGUGGAGACACGAAUACAGGGACAUUGAGAGAUACAAGGAGACACAGUGAAACAGAGACACGGCUGACAGUGAGACUCGGGUGCCCAGAGACAAUGAGAGAGACACGGGGACAGUGAGAGAGAGAGAGGGGAGAGAGUCGCCCACGGGGAGACAAGGAGGUGGGACAGGUCGGAGAGAUCAAGGGACACGGCUCACAGUGAGACUCGGGGACAGCGAGAGAGAGAGAGACAGAGAGACGGCGAUGACGGCGACGACGAUGAUGAGGUGAUGGCCUCUGCGGCUGUAGAGCGACUUCGGUGGAGUUGAUCGCGAAGACUCCGCGUCUCUUGCGACGAUAGCCGCCACCACCACCACCUCAUCCUCCUCCUCCUCUUUCCGAUCUUCCUCCUCGUCCUCAACUUCCUCCGCCUCCUCGUCGUUGUCGUCUGCACCUCGUCGAAACCUCCCGCCGUCGACAUGAUGAAGAAGCAGUUGAACAGGAUGCGCCUCCGGGCCAACCAGACGAUGUUCAGGACUGAGAAGACAGAGGUUCUUAGCGAUGAACUCCUCAAGGUGGAGAAGAGGCUGGAGAGCCUCAAGAUGGUUUUCAACCACGCGCACAAGAAGCUGAGCGGCUGCCUCCACGGAACCCCGGGGCUCGAACUCGAUAAGAGAUUGAAGAGGGUGCCAGUGGCGGUGCUCGCCGUGGAUUUGUCGGACAGCUACCGCACACUCGAGGACAUGCCCUUUGGCAAGGUGCUGCAGCAGUGCGGGGAGGCGCAGCUGAACCUGGCGAUGGAGGUGUGCAACAUGGAGACCAACGUGGAGACCAACGUCCUGGAGCCCAUCAACCUCUUGGCCGAGGAGCACAUCCCCAACAUCCAGAAGCAGAGGAAACAUCUCAGCAAGAUGGUGCUGGACAUGGAGGGCGCCAAGUCCAGGUACCAGCAGGCCUCCAAGGUGCUGCAGGGCAACGUGGGGGCAAUGACGCCCAGCAAGCUGGAGGCGCUGCGCGAGGAGAUGGAGGAGGAGGAGAACAAAGUGGAGAUCAUGAAGGACCAGUAUGCCACGGAGCUCUACCAGUUCGUGGCCAAGGAGAAAGGCUUUGCCGACUACUUUGUCAAGCUCCUGGAGACGCAGGCCGACUUCCACAAGAGGUCCUUGGCUGUCAUCGAGACUCUCCUGCCCAAGAUCACAGCCGAGAGAGAGCACUGCGUGCGUCCCUGCUACGGGCAGCCGCUGGAGGAGCACCUGCAGCUGAGCCGACGGGACAUCGCCUUUCCCAUCGAGGCCUGCGUCGUGGCACUCAUGGACACCGGCCUGCAGGAGGAGGGUCUGUUCCGGAUCGCGGCUGCCAACUCGAAGCUGAAGAAGCUGAAAGCGUCGCUUGACUGCUGCAUCGUGGAGUCGGACUUCUCCCCCGACCCCCACGCCAUCGCCGGGGCUCUCAAGUCCUAUAUCCGUGAGCUGCCCGAGCCUCUCAUGACCUUCCACCUCUUCACAGACUGGAGCAAGGCGUUCAGCAUGCCCGAUCAGCAGGAGAGGCUGCAGGCGCUGUGGUCGGUGUGCGACCUGCUGCCCAAGGAGAACAAGGCCAACUUCCGGUACCUGAUGAAGUUCCUGGCGCGGCUCGCGGAGCAGCAGGAGUUUAACAAGAUGACUCCCAGCAACAUCGCCAUCGUGCUGGGGCCCAACCUGCUGUGGGCCCCCACCUCCAGCUCCGUGGACGCGAUGUCCAGCGUCUCUAUCCAGGUGGUCGGCAUAGUGGAGAUGAUGCUGCAGUACUCGGAAUGGUUCUUCCCUGACGAGGUGGAGUUCGACCAGACGGGAAUCUUUGCGGCGGCGUCGCAGCUGCCGGCGGAGGGGCCGGGGGGAGCGCCGGCGGGGGGGGGUCACCUGCUGGCGCCUGGUGUCAACGGGGAGAGGCGAGGAGGAGGCGCCGAGGGGAGCCGCGCCCGGCCGCUCAGCGUGGCGACCGACAACGACCUGGCGCGCGAGCUGCACAAGAAGGACGGGGCAACGCGCCCCAAGGAGCCCGGCAGCUUCUACCGCGCCGUCACCACCGUUAGGAAGCAGAACCACGUGGUGGGGGUCAUGGGGGGCGCGGGGGGUGGGGGCGAGGGGGGGUCCUCCCACGCCGCCCUCUCCUGCCCCAACACCCCCUCCCUGUGCACGGCCCCCAGCACGCCGCCAGUGGUGGUGGAUAAGAGCGCCCUCAAGCUGCCCCAGGUGUCACCGACGUUCGGCCGAAAGUCGGGGCAGGGCAGCGUGAACCCCCAACACAAAGCCAAGAAGCCGGCGCCGGCGCCGCCCAAGGCGGUGGCCAGCCUGGUGCAGGGCACGCAGGCUGGCCUCUCGGAGAUGGGCUCGGCGCCGGGCGGCUCGGAGACGGGCGGCCCCGGCGCCGAAGACACGCCGCCCGGCACGCCGCCGCGCGCCGGCACGCACAGCCGCAGCGCCUCGCAGUCCUCCGUCCUCUCCUCCUCCUCCUCCCCCUCGCCCUCCGCCUCGCUGCGGAACGCCGCCGCCGCCGCGGCGCCCGCGGCUGACGCCGGAGGAGGAGGAGCGCCGCACGGCGCCGCCGCGGCGUCGGGGAAGCCGCCGGUGCCCAAGCCCCGCGCCAGGCCGGCGAUGCCGCCGCCGCCGCAGCCGCCGUUGGGCGGCCUAGGGGGGCACGCCGGGGAGACGGCGCAGACCGACUCGUCGGACGAUGGGCUCGAGGAGAUGUCCACGGUGCUGUCUCUCUGAUGGCUUGCGUUGUGGCCUGCCCGCUUUCGCUCGAGCGGUGUAGGGUUCGCUCGGAGCCGCAGUCCGGACGGCCCUGCGAGCGCGACGGAGCCGCCUCCGCUCCCGACGAGCGACCCUCCGGCGGAGGAGGACGAGAGCACCGCCCUGUAGCGCUCUCCGCCCGCUCUCUCCGACCCCACGACCUUCAGCAGCACCGCCCGCUCCCCUCGACCCCCACGACCCCGGCAAAGCCCGCAACGGGCCCACCUCGCCCGGUGACCCUGGCCGCGUGCGGGCGACCUCCCCCCCCCCCUCCAUCGUCGUCCUGUGGCGGCCAUGACAGCAGCAGCAGCAUUAACUCUUGUUUACACUCACCCCACCUGCGUGCAAGGCUCUCCGCGCGUCGUUGCGAGUGUUGUAAGUUGUUGUGGCCGAGCGCCAUUCAAAGCAAUUAAUCGUCCGGUUGGAGAGGGGGGGGGGGGUGUGACUAAUUAAUGGUAAGGUGGCAAAGGCAAGAGGGGGAGCCAGGGGGUCGGGGCGGCUCUAACGAUCGUUUAAAACAAGACCAGAUGAGGGCACUAACCAGCCACACAAAGCCAACAAUGUAUGCGGCUCGGUGAUUCUUAAAGCUGAUUUGGUCAUUUUCUUGCUCUCCGCUGUUUCCCCACCGUGUGAUCUUCACACGCUCACGGUUGUAUUUUUAUUUUCCUCUUCCCCUCCCCUUCCAAUUGCCGCAAAAAAAAAACUUGAUUUAAAAAGAUGAUCAUCAUUAUUAUUCGUCAGUACGGGAUGAGGCGCGUAUCCGUGCGAGUGACCGGUGGUGUGGGUGUUGUUCCUUAUUGGUGCGUUGCUGUACACGUGUAGUGCAGGUGUACUGUGGGGGCGCCGCGGUGGCGAGAUGUUAACUACCUCGCCUGGUAUACAGGAGGUCGUGGGUUCGAUCCCGACCCCUUGACGCCUGCUGUAUAUUUGGAGUUUUGCAUGUUCUCCCCGUGGUCACGUGGAUUUUUCUCCGGGUCCCCCCCACCCACAUUUAGAAUUUAUUUGUCGCGCGUUUCAGGUAUCUGGCUGCUUGUAAAUUUCCGCGUGACGACGACGAGUCAACUUUCGUUGAGCUGCCGUCAUUCGUGACGGCCAGGUCGCUUCUGAAAGAGAGCCACGUGGCUCAGUGGGCGGGUGGCCUUACCCCGGUAAGAUAAACAAAAACAAUAGUUUUAGUCUCGUACGUUUUUACAGGUAGCUGGUACAGCUGCGCGGCCGUGCAGGGUGUGUAAUCGCGGUACGAGCGCGUGGCGCGGAUGAUUUGUGUAGGUGCACGGUGAUUGUCCUCCCCCCCCCCUCCUUUCAUUUGUGAUGGAGAAGCGGCGUCGGAAGUUGUCCCACACUGGACGUUGUAACGGCGUAAAGAGAAUGUAACCGGGCGUGUCGUUACCGCUCAUCGCCACCGCAUCACCGUCAUUGCACCACCAACACGACUACUGCACCGCAACCAUCGCUCAAUCCGAAUAAAUAAAACCACCAUCUGCAUUACGGCCAUCACAAGGCUCGUAACACGCCGCCAUUGCAUCUCCGUGGCAACCACCGCCACUGUAACUCGCAACACUCAUCCCACGCUUGCGCUGCACGAUCCUAAUCAACACAACCACCACCAGCUGACAUUGCAUGACACCCAGCGACGCAAUAUCUCCAUCGCAACCACCACCAGCUGACAUUGCACGACCCCAAUUAAUGCUACCACCACCACCACAACCAUCACCAACACUCAUCCAAGCUUAAUCAACACAACCACUGUCCUCUCAGUGUAGCUGCCUUCAGUGUAGAGGCCACGCAUCAUCACCCACUGCCUUUUAAUUUUUGUUUUUAUAUAGAAUUUUACAUUUUUAUUGAGGAUGUUUUAAGUUUUUAUAACAAGAGUUCAUAAUGAUCACAGAUGGCAAUGUACUGACACUCCUCUCACACCCCCCCCCCAACUCCUGGAGCCAGUAGAUGGCCUGUACCACCACAGCCCCCCGGCAAAGGGGGCUGUGGUGUUCCCACCCCUGAGGCGGGCGGGGUGCAUGCGGGUUUAUGAUUGUGGCUUCUCCCCCAAUCCUCCCCCACCCCCCUUGUGAUGUUGAAUGGAACAGUCCAUGGCUCAAGCUUGAGUGCAGGAUGCCUAGGGUGGUGGGGGGGGGUAAACUGUAAAUAGAGAAUCUAUUGAAUAUCUCCCUUCCCAGAGAGCACCCUCCCCCCCCUCUCCUCUGCGCGUGUACAGAUGGUACGGUCCACUCCACCCCCCCCUCGCCCACCUCUGGCACCCCGAGGUUGGGAGGGCUGGGGGGAGGGCUGCAUGACGUGAGGACGGGCGACCUGUCAAAAUAAAAGUCCCAUGCGAUUGGAGGAAACCGG